rnacentral:pre_miRNA from 7 species
ACAGGCACGGCCAGUUUGAGCAUUUUCACUGAAUUGCCAAACCAGUUGUGCCUGUAGA